UUUAAGYAUAUCACUCAGWGGAGGAAAGCCAAGCAACAGCGAUUGCUUCAGUAACGGCGAGUGAAGUGGCAAUACCCCAGGGCUCUGCCCGAACGAGAUUCCUGACGGCCCCUGCCUCGGCAGUGUGGCGAUCGGCUAUCGUGUGACUCUCUGAUAUCCUGUGGGCUAUAUAUGGAGUGGCGGCCUGUGCUCUCGGCUGACUGUCGACACCCGGAAGGCAUCCUGGAAUGGACCACCAGAGAGGGAUACUGUCCCGUACUGCCAAGUGUGUGUCGGUGUCACCCUGGGCCAAGCUAUGUCACAUCCAAGAGUAGAGCUGUUUGGGACUGCAGUUUGAAAUGUGAGGUGUAUCCCUCACAAGGAGCAACACUACCGUGGGACCGAUAGCACACAAGUAGAGUGAUUGAAGGAUGCAAAGGACUUUGCAAAGAGGGUUAAAAGUCCCUGAAGCCUCGGCAGGAACGGCGGUGUGUGGCGCUGUGUUUGAGGACACCAGUGAUGGCCGGAGAGCAUGGCCGGCCAGUCUCUCUCGUUCGCAAGCGAAGGCUGUGUGUUUGCCCAGUGGCCUGUGGGUGGUGGCCAUGGGGGAAGAAUUGGCUGUCGCUGGAAUGUGGAUAUGGCAUGCCUCUCUCGGCAAUCAUCUGGAAUCUGCCAAGCAACCUUAGGCCAGCCCGUGGUUGACCACCGAGCCCAUGUCCCAGGAUGUGGAUGCCAUCGUGGCAGUCUCUGGCGGUGACAUAUCAGCCCAUCAGGGCCUGAGGACCGUGAUCUCUGGGCAAGCAAGAGCGAGAGUGUCUUCUCCUCUCUCUAACCAUGUAUGUGCGUUUUGCAGAGCGUUUGGCUGGUGGUUUGGUGGGGAGACCACCCGUAUUUGGUAUCCGCGAAAGCUGGCUGCCGCUGGGCUGCUGCUGCUGUGCAUAUGCCUUGGCUGUGGUGGAGAAUGCAUACUGCUGGCUGUGUUUUGCUGUGGCUGCUGAAUGUGUGAACAAAAUCUGGGCUGUCUUCGGGUGGUCCCAGUCACCGGCUUGCCCCUCCACGGUGGGAACGUCGGGUGUGUGGGGGUCUCACCACUCCGCUGGUGACCGCUGUGCAUCCUCGAUGGUCCUCCGCAAGGAGCCCGGUGUAGACAGGCAGCUGGGCUUGGUACAUCUGUGCCGCCCACUGCCCGUCUUGAAACACGGACCAAGGAGUCUAUGGAGCAUGACUGACUGGCUGGUUUCUCUGAGAAAGCCACCGAAGAGUGGUGAAAGCGAUGUCCCCUUCCAGAUGGAGUGACCCAUACAAAGUGCUUCCUCGAUGGCAGCCAACGACACCGUCGUGUGUUGGUGGCUCUCUUCUACCGUUGGCCGCUCAUCGCGCUUGUGACGGAGGGGGAACCGAAGGGCCCCGUGGAUUGCCUCGUCUCCACCUAUGGAUGCACAGGGCAUGACACCUUGGUGUGUCCUUUCCCCCUCUGCGUGGGCCAUCUCGUGGCUACGCUUCGGCUGAGAUUCAUGAGAGGCCUACUGGGGGGCCUCCUGCGUGUGUGAGACCUGCUGGCUGCUUCGCGCUGUCGUGUGUGCUGUCGUGGAGUAUCSUUGAUGGGCAAGGCUGCUGCAUGGAGCGCCGGCCCCAACGUCCAUCGGACUGGGCUUUGAGUGCUUGCAUGGUCCAUGGGACCCGAAAGGUGGUGAACUAUACCGUUCCACAACGAAGCCGUGGGAAACCGCGGUGGAGGUUGGUCGCUGUUCUGACGUGCAAAUUGUGUAGUCUGAAGUGUGGCAUAGGGGUGAAAGGCCAAUCGAGCUACCUAGUAGCUGGUUUCCCUCGAAGUUUCCCUCAGGAUAGCUGGGCUCCGUGUGGAGAGCCACGGGCUCCGAGCCCAACCCCGGCUAUGUCCGGUAAAGCAACGCAUGAGAGGCCCCAACGGGGCAGCAUCCUUCCUCSACCUAUCCUCGAACUGUGAAGGGGWGUGGAGAGCCYCUCAAGGCAUGCUUCUUCACCAGGUGCCAGGAGUCCUGCUGUCGUGUGGCCCAAGCUGGUCCUCCGGGACCCUUUCUGAGCAUGUUGUGUGAACUCUGUGUGUUCUUCUGCCGCAAACAGAGAGUAUUAUUUGUCGGUGUGUGGUGGGGCUGUGUGUGUGUGCCUCCCCUGUGGAGCCUCCACCAACCCCUGCCCCACACAGAGAGCCUUGUUCUCCCAGUGUGUCGACACCGAGACCCUCGUUGGUCCCUCGAGGUCUGGACACCGACGAUAUAUCUCUUCUUCCCAUCAUGUCUGGAGCGAUGGGGCCCAUGUGGGCCACCAUUGGUAAGCAGUGCUGGCGAUGCGGGGUGCUCCGAGAGUGGACUUACAGUUCCAGAGUGCUGGCUCAUACUCAGAACCCACAAAGGAUGUCGCAGGCUAUGGAUAGCAGGACGGUGGCCAUGAAGGUUGGAACCCGCCAAGGAAUGUGUAACAACUCACCUGCCGAAGUGUACAGCUCCGAAAAUGGAUGGUGCCCAAGUCAGUGAAGCUGCUAUUGCCUCACAGUCCACCGCCGAUGUGGCUGCUGAGCAGAGCAUCGCCGUGUAGAAUGGACGUGGGAGUCUGCAGCCCCGGCUGGGAGUGAUCCUGGCUGGAGUGCCUCCCAGCGCAGAUCUUGGUUGCAGUAGCGAGUACUCCAAUCCAGCGAAUGGUGGACAAUCCACCACCUGUGUGUGGUUGAGGACCGAAGUGGAGAAGGUUUCCACGCCAAACAGCCGUUGAACGUGGGUCAGCCGGCCGUGAGCCAAUCGGCAAUCCCGACGGGGCAAUCAAAGCUGUCAUAUCGGCGAGAAGGCAACGACAACACCACCGUAUAUUCAUCGGUGCUGUGUGAGAUGAUACCAUGUGUGUGUGAUGUGAUGGUAUGUGUGGGGCAAAAGGAGAAAGAAGAGAAGGGGAUGAGCUCCCUUCUUCACGAGAGGACACCGUGUAUUAUUGUGAUGGACGAUGUUAUGUGACAGGAAUGGCAAUCAGGCAGGCAUGGGCAACAUUCUGCCGCUAUGGGCCGUGGGAGGCCCCACUCUCGUGUGUGGUGUGUGGGUGGUGACACCACGUGAAUCUGAGCAAGCAGGCAUCGGGGCAGUGUACCCCUCGUGGAGUCUCUCACUCGUUUCCUCCUGAUGCAGACCAAGUGGGCUAUGGAAUACUGUGUGACAUCUCUGGUGGCGAAACAAGCCCUGCGCUCGGCAUAGGCAGCGCACCCUUUGCGCUGGCGGCAGGCAAUCUCUCGUGGUGCAUGUGUGAUGUGGCAACAAAGCUUCUCUUCCAUGGAAUGGUGGUAUAUCUCGUCAACCAAUAUCAAUCAAUCAGCUUCAGCUGGGCUCCGCCAAUGAUGAUGAGUGAAUCCAAGGGCAAAGAAGAAGGACCCUCCUCCUCCUAUCACUGUGUGAAGAUGCUAUGCUCCUCUCUGUGUGUUGUUAUCUGCUGGCCAGCCGGUGGCCACUGGCCCUACAGAACACCCUGUGUGGGACACCCGAGCUUCCCUGUCCCCUGGCAGUCGUACUGUAUCACCGCAGCCGGUCUCCUCGGCUUCCAGCCGCUGGUCAACGGCAACAAAUGCAGCUAAGGGAAGUCGGCAAACUGGCCGUGUACCUUCGGAAGAUUCGGUGGCUCCAGAAGCUAAGUCACUGGGCCCCGCUGUGGACGUGGUGUGCUGUGGAAGAGCUACCUGCCAUGGUGCUCCCCUGGUUGGACACUCGUGGCUGAGUCGUGGGUUCUUCGCAGCUACUGCGCUCUGCGGUGGGGGGUCAGCAUCCUCGGAUGCAGGCCAUCCUGGUGUCUGCCAAGUGGCUCACGUGGAACUGUUGCUGCGCAAGGGAAUCUGACUGUUUAAUUGAAACCCAGCUUUGUGACGGGGUCCAGCUGGCUGGCCCCAUGUGGUGACUUCUGCCCAGUGCCCUGGUUGUCAAUGCCAAGAGAUUGAGUGAAGCGCGGGUAAACGGCGGGAGUAACUAUGACUCUCUUAAGGUAGCCAAAUGCCUCGUCAACCAAUUAUUGACGCGCAUGAAUGGAUCAACGAGAUUCCUGCUGUCCCUAACGGCUAUCCGGUGAACCAACAGCCAGGGGAACGGGCCUGGAUGUGCCAGCGGGGAAAGAAGAGCCUGUUGAGA
rnacentral:rRNA from 1 species